CCGGUAAGGAAGUGGCAGCGUUAUCCGGAUUAUUGGGCGUAGCGCGCGCAGGUGGUUUCUUAAGUCUGAUGUGAAAGCCCACGGCUCAACCGUGGAGGGUCAUUGGAAACUGGGAGACUUGAGUGCAGAAGAGGAAAGUGGAAUUCCAUGUGUAGCGGUGAAAUGCGUAGAGAUAUGGAGGAACACCAGUGGCGAAGGCGACUUUCUGGUCUGUAACUGACACUGAGGCGCGAAAGCGUGGGGAGCAAACAGGAUUAGAUACCCUGGUAGUCCACGCCGUAAACGAUGAGUGCUAAGUGUUAGAGGGUUUCCGCCCUUUAGUGCUGAAGUUAACGCAUUAAGCACUCCGCCUGGGGAGUACGGCCGCAAGGCUGAAACUCAAGGGGAAUUGACGG
rnacentral:rRNA from 2 species